CAUAACAUUCAUCACCCACAAUUUGGGUGAUUCAAGUGCUGCAGCAAAACUGCCCAGACCAGCAUUCAUAUCCAUGAUGUUGCGAUACCUUCCUGAGUCAAUGAUCUUAUUGGUUCUUUUAUAAGCUUUGACAUGCUUCUUCCACAAUUUGUCAUCCUCCUGGAAAGUCUCAUCAGAGACUCCAGGGAUGGAUCCACUGGAUAUCCUGAAGGGAACGGCAUUCAGUCUCUCAGGAAAUGGCUUCCAUACACCACCAGCAACUUCAUCUGCUUCUGUA
rnacentral:lncRNA from 1 species